rnacentral:rRNA from 1 species
UGGCGGACGAGUGAGUAAUGCUUGGGAAUCUGGCUUAUGGAGGGGGAUAACUACGGGAAACUGUAGCUAAUACCGCGUAAAAUCUUCGGAUUAAAGGGUGGGACUUUCGGGCCACCUGCCAUAAGAUGAGCCCAAGUGGGAUUAGGUAGUUGGUUAGGUAAAGGCUGACCAAGCCGACGAUCUCUAGCUGGUCUGAGAGGAUGACCAGCCACACUGGAACUGAGACACGGUCCAG